GCUACCUGCAGUCGGACGGUAGCACAGAGAGCUUGCUCUUGGGUGACGAGUGGCGGACGGGUGAGUAAUGUCUGGGGAUCUGCCCGAUAGAGGGGGAUAACCACUGGAAACGGUGGCUAAUACCGCAUAACGUCGCAAGACCAAAGAGGGGGACCUUCGGGCCUCUCACUAUCGGAUGAACCCAGAUGGGAUUAGCUAGUAGGCGGGGUAAUGGCCCACCUAGGCGACGAUCCCUAGCUGGUCUGAGAGGAUGACCAGCCACACUGGAACUGAGACACGGUCCAGACUCCUACGGGAGGCAGCAGUGGGGAAUAUUGCACAAUGGGCGCAAGCCUGAUGCAGCCAUGCCGCGUGUAUGAAGAAGGCCUUCGGGUUGUAAAGUACUUUCAGCGGGGAGGAAGGCGGUGAGGUUAAUAACCUCGCCGAUUGACGUUACCCGCAGAAGAAGCACCGGCUAACUCCGUGCCAGCAGCCGCGGUAAUACGGAGGGUGCAAGCGUUAAUCGGAAUUACUGGGCGUAAAGCGCACGCAGGCGGUCUGUUAAGUCAUAUGUGAAAUCCCCGGGCUUAACCUGGGAACUGCAUUUGAAACUGGCAGGCUUGAGUCUCGUAGAGGGGGGUAGAAUUCCAGGUGUAUCGGUGAAAUGCGUAGAGAUCUGGAGGAAUACCGGUGGCGAAGGCUGCCCCCUGGACGAAUACUGACGCUCAAGUGCGAAAGCGUGCGGAGCAAACAGGAUUAAAUACCCUGGUAGUCCACGCCGUAAACGAUGUCAACUUGGAGGUUGUUCCCUUGAGGAGUGGCUUCCGGAUCUAACCCGUUAAGUCGACCGCCUGGGGAGUACGGCCGCAAGG
rnacentral:rRNA from 1 species